rnacentral:rRNA from 1 species
AUUGAACGCUGGCGGCAGGCCUAACACAUGCAAGUCGAACGAGGGGCGGACGGGUGAGUAAUGUCUGGGACACUGCCUGAUGGAGGGGGAUAACUACUGGAAACGGUAGCUAAUACCGCAAACCAUCGGAUGUGCCCAUAUGGGUGGCGCUAGUGGGUGGGGUAAUGGCUCACCUAGGCGACGAUCCCUAGCUGGUCUGAGGGGAUGACCAGCAACACUGGAACUGAGACACGGUCCAGACUCCUACGGGAGGAAGCAGUGGGGAAUAUUGCACAAUGGGCGAAAGCCUGAUGCAGCCAUGCCGCGUGUGUGAAGAAGGCCUUCGGAUUGUAAAGCACUUUCAGCGGGGAGGCGUUACCCACAGAAGAAGCACCGGCUAACUCCGUGCCAGCAGCCGCGGUAAUUC